AUUCUAUGUCCCCCCUCCCUUCUUACCUUUAUUUAGGAGGAGGGGGGACAUUUCCCUGGUGGUCCGGUGGGGGAUUCCCUGGUGGUCCGGUGGGGGAUUCCCUGGUGGUCAGGUGGUCAGAGUGAACUCUAGCCCGCAGCUCCCGGGCUAGAGUUCACUCUCGCGAGAUUUGGAGCGUUGCCGUGGUAACCGCGGCAACGCUCCAAAUCUCGAGAGAGAGGAGGACCCGGAGGAGCUGCAGACUGAGCUCCGGGUCCUCUCUCUCACUCCCUCCCUCCGCCGCCGGCUGUAAGCACAGUGCUUGCCGACCGGGGAGGGAGAUCUCUGAUCUUCCUCCCCGGUCCGCAGGCACAUUGCAGGGCUGGCACUUGGGCAAUGCCAGCCCUGCGUUAGCCGGCAGGGGGGAAUCUCGGGGGGGGCAAUUGCCCCGUUGCCCCCCCCCUGGAUCCGCCAAUG